rnacentral:rRNA from 1 species
UACGUAGGGGGCUAGCGUUGUCCGGAAUCAUUGGGCGUAAAGCGCGUGUAGGCGGUCCGGUAAGUCCGCUGUGAAAGUCGGGGGGCUCAACCCUCGAAUGCCGGUGGAUACUGUCGGGCUAGAGUGCGGAAGAGGCGAGUGGAAUUCCUGGUGUAGCGGUGGAAUGCGCAGAUAUCAGGAAGAACACCGAUGGCGAAGGCAGGUCUCUGGGCCAUAACUGACGCUGAGAAGCGAAAGCAUGGGGAGCGAACAGG